ACUAAUACGUUCUGUAUGGCUGUGUAUAUUGUUUUAUGCAUGUCAAUGGAUUUAAAUUUGUAACUUAAUCUUUAUUUUUUUUUUAUAGUAUUUUUACGAUCUUUCUCAUCUAUUUUUGCAUUUGAAAUCACUGAAGCCUUGGCGUUCCUGGCCAGUAGAAGGAAAGGACAGCAACUCUUGACAGUGACCAAGAAUGAAUGAGAGAAUUAGAAGUGGAACUGCAAAUUCUGAUUUCGAGCAUGCUGACUUGGGCGAGAGAUCGCGAAAAUGGGAGAAAGUAAAGACAUUUAAAUCCUGUAAAUAAUUCUGGGGUUGAGGGUGAAUUACAAGAAGUAAAGCUGUAAAAAUUUCAGCCGAUAUUUGUGUGGAAAACUCUGACAUAAACCUGUACAGGUCAAUGCUUUAUGAAUUUAUUUAUAUAAUCAUAUUUUAAAUUAACAAUUAAAUAAACAUCAGUAAACAACAAA